GUCGGUUUAAUAUACUCAGACAGGGACAAUUAAUAUAAAUAAUCUCACAUUAUCCCCACGCUCUUCUAAUGCAACUUGUGGAGCACUGCAGUGGAAUGCCGCAGUGGAAAUCUUCACCAAUGUAACUCUGGGUUCGAUAUCGAUAUGGGUAUCGUGGGUCUGGGUGGACUGUCUGUUGCCAAGGAAACGUAACCACAACAUAGAUGGGAAGAAGCUCAAUGAACUGGCUGUCCUGAAAUAAUCCCAAAACGAUCAACGCACAUCGUGUGCAUUUCACAAUGUCUGAGGAAAACGUGGACUUCAAACCCAGCUGUCCUGCCCCUGGUAAUCCUGUCUUCUCUUGCAUGAUGGACACGAAGAAGUCCCCCACUAACCCUCUUUACAAGACAACAUCAUCAGAUUAUGGACAACUGCCUCCUACAUUUGAAUCUUCACCCUGCACCUACCACCCGCUGUCGCAGAGGUUCAGUGAGCACCUAGGGAAAUGCGGAAUGUAUCAAGACAAUUCAUUCAAUACCAGUCUGGACAAAAGUAAUGUGUAAUUGAAAGUGUGGUAAUUGGCUUGAUGGAUGUUGUGGUGGCCAAUUAAACUCCGUUGGGGCUGUGUCUGGUAGACAGCAAAACACCUUGAAAACCUGCCCGCUCUGAAUUUAGCCUUGGACAUUAUCCAUCAUAAUUCACGGGAAAAGAAAGAAUACAAUUAAACACAAUUGAACAUUUA